rnacentral:lncRNA from 1 species
UCACUGCAAACCCUCACGAGACAACACUCGUCCACUAGGAUAACCUAGGGGUUUAACGGCUUGUUGCACAUGCUAAGUGCAAUCGUAAUGCUCUACGAAAGUGAGUAUUUAUUUUACUUCAUGCAUAUUGAUAUAUAUUAAUAAACAAUACUUUUGCACCCUCAUUUUAUCAUUUUCACACUAAAUUGCUAGAGACUAGCAAUAAGUUAGUUGGGGGGUGUGAUGAGAGUACAAAAGUAAAAUUU